rnacentral:lncRNA from 10 species
AGAAUAUUGUGCAACAUGGUUAUGGGUACUACAGUGGAUGUGAGUGUGUAGACCUUGUACAAUAGAGCUUAUAGGCUAAUGAGAAGACAGGAAGAAACAACAGGAACACAUAUAGCUGGAAUGCAGAUGGGAUCUGUGCUACUUACGCUAGCCAUGGGAUGAUUAGAACAAGAUAAGAGACAUGAGGAAGACUUCUUCAAGGAGGUGCUCAAGCCAUGUUUUGGAAAAGAGAACUCAAGGUCUGGCAGGGAGAAAGGAGCAAGACUGCCUGGCAGCUCUUUAGAAAGUUGUGUGACGUAUGAACCAGUUCUUCCCUAUAUGAGAGUGUACCGUACAUCGCAGGCUGUCCAGCAUCGACCCCACUGAUGGAUGCUAGUAGUCCUCCCCGCCAGCACUCAACAUUGUGACAGUCAAAAACAUCCUCUCUACAUUUUCAAUGCCCCUGUUGGGGUAGCAGGACUCCCACUGAGAGACCCCAGUAGAGAUGGGCAAGUAGAGCUGCAGCUGUCUGGCGCCACUGUAAUGCUGUCUCCUCCUCUGAGUGAGUUCAUCCUGGAAACAUUUUCUCCCAUAAGACAUGCACAGGUCUUACGUUUACAUGUUUCACUGAAAGAAAUUUGAUUCCACUGCUGGGAUGACAAGGAAGACUGAAGAAACCUAAUCCUAGGUGCUGCCACUGGGACAAACAAGAAGCACCAGACACAGUGCUGUUUUAGGGUGGGGCAGAAUUAUGCUGAGGGAAAAGUUAUUAUCACUCUUUAAGGCCAAGGAAACCACAAUUUUUAAAGAAGCUUCUAGAAAUUCUACCCAGUAGAAAAUAAAGAUAAACUUCUGUAAGGAAUUUCAUUCUUUUCAGAAUUCGCAAUCUGAAAUGUAGAAGCCCAUUCCUUCAUGGUUCUCAUAGAUAUUUAGUGUGACUGAGGGGUCAGUGGACUCAUAGCACUCAGGCCAGGCUUCUCCUGAGUCCCUUUCUUUGGCACAGAGGGAGUGAUUCACAGAUCCUCUACCCCCAAAGGCAUUGUUUCCUCAUCUCAACAAGAAUCCAGCACCCGUCAUUUUAUCAGCACACGUCACUAGCUUCUCAAGUGAGACUACUCUGAAGUGAUCUGUGUUUGAAGAAUGCCUUUCCCUUUCCCUUACGUAACUAAGAGGAUGAAAAAGGACACUCACUCCCUAUAUGAAAGCUGUGUAUUGUAAGCAGUCAUCUUGCCUGGCUGAGAACUCUAGGAUCUUUUUCUCUGCUCUCCUUUAGGCUGACACUCAUAGCCAGACCUUCUGUUUAUUAGCCCCCUGAAUCUAUUUGAAAAUAUUUUUGCUUUCAUUAUAAUAUAAGUCACAUUCUUCUUGCAUCUGCCGCUGCAUUUUCCAAAAGGGUUAUGUCAAGGGAAAUUCAACACUCACUUUUCUCAUUAUUUGCUUACCAGCUUGCUCACUCAUCAAAAUACCAGAGUUAUUUGAUACUUCAGAAGAUUAUUUCCCCCUUUAGAUGAUGUGUCAAGGGAAGGGGAGCUGGCCCCAGUAUCAGGUGACAGAAUUUUCUUCGCAUUUCUACUGUUGACUCAAUAAAUGCCCUUGGGCAAGUCAU